AAUGGCACUUUUGACAGAUUUUCCUUAUUUGUCUGUGAAGGGGAUUCAGAUCAUUCAAGAUGGACUCAAGUGGUUGCUAAGGCAACAGUGUUACAGUCGUCACUGUCAUGGAAACCCGUUCUGUGGCGUAAUAUAAAUAUUUUCCUCAAGUUGUUUUCUAAUGCUCACGCGCUAUGGCCGAAGUCUGCAAUGGAUGGGAGAAAGGGGAGGACCAAAUUAGCUCAGAUUCUUUACAGUUCACAGCAUCAGCUGUUUUAUUUAUUUGUUUUAGAUAGCGAAGCCAAAAAAAGUUGGAUGGGGGCAAAAAUGCCAACUAAAAUAGCUCAUAGUUCUGAAGUAGAGAGAAGUCAGAAUUUCCCGUUUUCUCUUGUUUCUCUCAGGGAUGGUCUAUAUGACUGGCGCUCCUUGGAAGCAGUGCUGAGGGCAUUAUCAAGAGUUUCCAGGGCCUCCUCUUUCUCCUGAAACCUUCUUCAAGGAGGGUAAAGUUUUAAGAGAGUUCAAAAGUACCACAGACUUCCAGGGAAUAGUAGUUUUUGUCGUGACAAGCAUGGACAUUUUCUUGCGUCAUGUACUAUUUCAGAAGGUAGAGACCACAAAAAGGCUUCUUACUGUGGCCACCGUGGACAUCUUCCCACAUCUACAAGGUGUUGUGGCCACAUCAUUGCUGCACCCAGUUUCCUCAGAAGAAAUACCUGUUGCUUAGGUUUAGAAACGAGGCAUGUAUACGUAUUUAACAGUUCUCAGAAUGUCAAGGAUCCCUCCUCAGAGCAAGAGCUCGAAUUUACAAAAGAAGCACUACCUCCUUUAUCACAUAGUAAAAUAAAGGACCGUGUCUGCUCCAGGACAUGGCUGGUUACAAUUUUGUUUUAAAGAAAUCACCAGAGAAACCUGAGAUUCCAACCCAGCCUUUUGUUUGCCUGGGAUUAUAGCCCAGUUCUUACAAGCAGAGAAGCCUAGGACACUAACCCAGCUUCAAGAGUAUACUCAGAAUCUCAAGAAUCACAAUCUGUGCUGCCCAUUCUUCAACAGACUGUCAUCUGGAGGCCUGGAUUGGAUCAGGAGUCGGGCUCACCAAUGGAGCCCCAAUCAGUCAGUCAGGAGUGAAGAUGAAAGCUUCAAACACUACACCCUCCCCCGCCCACCGCCUCAGCAACCAACCUCCAGGGAGGGGAAAGGGGGCAGAAGUUUGAGUUAAUAACUAAUAGCUAAAGAUGUAAACAAUAAGCCUCCAUAAAACCCCAAAAGGACUGGACUGGUUUCUGAGAGCUUCCAGGUUGUUGAGCACGUGGAGGUUCUGGGAGGGUCCACACCCAGAGAAGGCAUGGAAGCUGACCCCUUCCCCAUACCUUGCUCUUUGCAUCUCUUCCAUUUGGCUGUUCCCGAGUUGUAUACUUUGUAAUAAGUGGGAUUUCCACCCAACAACAAUUCAGCCACACUGCUUCACACAUCUAGAAUCCAUCCAAAAUUGUAAAGGCUUUGUGGCACUACAGUGAAACAGGCAAGAACAUCUUCCAAACAGCCAGCACAAGAGCACACAGGAGGCCGGCAUAAUCACGAAUUGCAGCUGUCUGAAGGGCAGUCACAUAAAAGAGGAGAAGCUUCACCUUUGCUUCACAAGGCACAUCUUGAACCAGGGAUGGAAAUUACAGAGAGGCCAAAACCAGCUCGGUGUGAGCAGGACUGGUAACAGACUGGCCAAGCAACAGAAGGGGCUGCCCUGUGAAGAAGCAAGCUCUCUGUCAAUGGGAGGUGCAAGCUGAGCCUGCACUACCUUUUGUCACGGUUGCUAUGGAAAAGAUUAAGAGCCCGGGCUGCUUGAGUGUCUGCAUGACAUGGCAGCUGGCUCCCUGAAGAGCACGUGAUCCGAAAGAGAGAGCAAGACAGAAGCGCAGUGUCUUCAACAGCAUAUCUUUGAAAGUCAUAUUCCACCGUUUUCACUACAUUCUAUUGAUAAGUGAGUCACUCAGAAUAGCCUACAUUCAAGGGGCCUGGCUGUUCCCACCUCAAACCACUUCUUAGCUUCAUUUGUUCUCAUAACAACAGGAUAGCCCUUCCUCCUCUGGGGGCCUGGGCAUCAGCAAGUCGGAUGGCAGUGGAAGGUGGAGAAAUGGAAUCCUGCUGGGGGCUCAGGAGGCCUGCCCCCUGAUGCUGCCGUGCACUGCAGAUGUCCUUGAUGAAGAGAAUGAAUGGAAGGUAUUGGAAGGGAGCUGAAGUUCAACAAAUGACCACCUAAUGAAAAAGUCAGCAGUGGAUUGCUUGAGAUCUUGAGCACCCUGUACUGUUAUUAGUAUUUAUAAACAUGUUUGAAAGAUGUUCCCUUCCUUCACUGUAGUGCCAGAAAGCCUUUAACAUAUUGGGUCCGGUCUAGAUUUGUAAGGAAGUAUGGCUGAAUUGUUAUCGGGUGGAUACAGUUUACAUGUUUAAAGCUGUCUUUCUCAAUGGCAAAAGGGCAUACUGCUGUUAUUGUCAGUGAGGGGUCAGUAGUUUAAAUGAUGAAACUCUGGGGAUCAGCGUAAAGUAAACCAACAUACUGCAUGUAAGUAUCAAGUAAAUGAGCAGAGACAGCCCCUGGUUUACAAACACCUGACUUAAGCAUCGUCCAUCCUACAGGUAAAUUCCUCAUUCUUACUGCUGUGAGAACAAUUGUUAGGAGCCAAAAACUUCAGAGCUUUCAAAGAACUGUAAUGAGAUAGCACAAUGCAGGCAAAAAGCCAGUGUUAACGGAGCAAGAAACUUCCCAGUUCUGACAUUCACAGCAUGACCUAGAGCAUGCGGAUUCCCCUCUCUGAGUCACUGGUUUCUCACCUGCAAAAGAAAGCGGGGACAGGGAAGGAGGAAGAAGCUUCGAGAGGCUGGAACAGUUGAGGGAGCGCUGACACGGUAAAGGCCACUUUGCUCAUCAUCACCAGGCGUGCUGCCGAAAAUUUCCACUCUGUUUACUCCCAAGACCUUACUCCUACUAUGUGGAGACACAUUUGAAUAAAAAAUUGGCCUCUUUUCAAAGUCAAAAUUCU
rnacentral:lncRNA from 1 species